AGGUGAACGGGACUGUGAAGCCCAUUUGGGGCGUUGACCCAAUUCCCUCACUCUCUUCUCUCUCUCCCUCUCUCGUCGUCUCCGACGACUCCACGGCGGAUCGACGCCGUCCGGCCACCCCUCACCACGAAACCACCACCAAAAUGACAGCCUCUUCAUUUUAUACCUAACCCAGCCCUCUUUUCGCAUAUGUAUCUACUCACAAGGGAGAUCGACAUUGAAGAUGCGCGACUGUUUUCCGGUGAUUCCUCAAGAUUUCGGCCACGGCUUGACGAGUGGAUGGGUCUUCCGGCGACGGUGUUCUUCAGGUUUCCGGCGAUCUCAACGAGCUGAGGCAAGCCCAGCAUCAAGUUGGAGAAGUUGUUUUGGGCAGAUUGAAGGUGGUGCUGCAUAUGACGAUCCGGCAAAGAGGAGCUUUGGUUAUCGGCUGGUUCGUCGUUUUGGAAUGCAAAAGGCUAUGGCAAAAUUCCGGCGAGGCAGCAGUAUCCGGUAGUGACCGUAGAGGCGUGGGAUUGAUUCGAGAGUGUGAAUAGUUGGAGGCAGCGCUCGAGGAGUAUUUCGAGCAUUGGAAGGCUUAGGCUUAACCUGCAAGUGGACGUUUGUUUUAAAUUAAAUGCAUGCGAUGGUUUUAUAUUUAAUGAUUGAUUUUAUUUUAUUGAAUUAUUAAUUUGUGGACUUGGUUUUCCUCUCGUGAGUUUUAUUAUGUGAAGUUAUUUUUGGAAAUAAAUA